UCCCAGUCGACGACUCCGCCGUUCCCCUUUGCCUCGCCCGGAACACACACAACACACCCCCAUGGCGCCGCCCGCUCUGCUCCGCGCCGCCGCAGCCGAGCUCCGCCGCCGCGCCCGCCGCUCCCCUCUCCCCCUCCCGCCUCUCUCAUCUCUCCUCUCGAGCCCACCCUCCGAUCCUAGCCCUCCCGCCCACUGCCGCCGCCUCAUAAGCCUCCGCCGGUGCCCGCACCCAGCAUCAGCGUCCCCCUUCUCCCCCGACUCGCUUUACCACAGGAUUCUGCUACCGAGCCACUUCCCGCCCGCCUCACCGCUCUCCACCUCCACCUCCUCCUCCUCUUCCCAACCCGCGGGCAAGCCACCACCGCUGACGUGGGUGGAUAACUGGAUCCCGGAGGCCGCGCGGCCGUACGCCAUGCUCGCACGCCUCGACAAGCCCAUCGGCACCUGGCUCCUCGCGUGGCCCUGCAUGUGGUCGAUCACCAUAGCGGCGAUGCCAGGGCAGUUGCCUGAUUUCAAAAUGCUGGCACUCUUCGGAUGUGGAGCCGUCCUCCUCAGGGGUGCUGGUUGCACAGUAAAUGAUCUUCUUGACCGCGACAUUGAUAACAAGGUUGAGCGCACCAAAAGCAGGCCUUUUGCAUCAGGUGUUCUUACUCCUUUACAGGGAGUGGGCUUCCUCGGAUUUCAGCUUUCUGCUGGGACUGGGCAUUCUUCUCCAAUUGAAUAACUAUAGCCGUAUUCUGGGGGCGUCUUCACUUCUUCUGGUCUUCUCAUAUCCUCUGAUGAAGAGAUUCACAUUUUGGCCUCAGGCUUAUCUUGGCCUGACCUUCAAUUGGGGAGCUUUAUUAGGAUGGGCUGCUAUUAAGGAAAGCUUAGACCCUGCAGUUGUCCUUCCAUUGUAUACAGCUGGUAUAUGCUGGACACUGGUAUAUGAUACCAUAUAUGCACAUCAGGACAAAGAAGACGACCUCAAAGUAGGAGUUAAGUCCACAGCAUUAAGAUUUGGAGAUUUGACCAAGUACUGGAUCGGUGGUUUUGGUGCCGCAUGCAUUGGCAGCUUAGCACUCAGCGGCUACAACGCUGACCUUGGAUGGCCCUACUAUCCUUUUCUGUGUGCUGCAGCCGUGCAGUUAGCAUGGCAGAUUUCAACUGUGGAACUUUCAAACCGCUCUGAUUGCAACAGGAAGUUUGUGUCCAAUAAGUGGUUUGGAGCUUUGGUAUUUAGUGGGAUUUUAUUUGGGCGUCUUGUAUCAUGAUGAAUUUAUCAGCAUGCUAUUUAUCCUUUUUGUAUCAUAUAUUGAUGCGUUCAAUGUAGAAACCAAAACAAUUUUGUGGUUGAGUGCGGGAAGAACGUACCAAACCCUUCACUUUGUGGACUAGCAAUUGCAGGUUGGUGCGGAAUGGACUUUGUAAGCUCCAUCUUCGCAUGGCUGGUGCUUACAUCCUUGCUAAAUUGCUAUUUUGGCCUGACCUUCAAUUGGGGAGCUUUAUUAGGAUGGGCUGCUAUUAAGGAAAGCUUAGACCCUGCAGUUGUCCUUCCAUUGUAUACAGCUGGUAUAUGCUGGACACUGGUAUAUGAUACCAUAUAUGCACAUCAGGACAAAGAAGACGACCUCAAAGUAGGAGUUAAGUCCACAGCAUUAAGAUUUGGAGAUUUGACCAAGUACUGGAUCGGUGGUUUUGGUGCCGCAUGCAUUGGCAGCUUAGCACUCAGCGGCUACAACGCUGACCUUGGAUGGCCCUACUAUCCUUUUCUGUGUGCUGCAGCCGUGCAGUUAGCAUGGCAGAUUUCAACUGUGGAACUUUCUAACCGCUCUGAUUGCAACAGGAAGUUUGUGUCCAAUAAGUGGUUUGGAGCUUUGGUAUUUAGUGGGAUUUUAUUUGGGCGUCUUGUAUCAUGGUGAAUUUAUCAGCAUGCUAUUUAUCCUUUUUGUAUCAUAUAUUGAUGGGUUCAAUGUAGAAACCAAAACAAUUUUGUGGUUGAGUGCGGGAAGAACAUACCAAACCCUUCACUAUGUGGACUAGCAAUUGCAGGUUGGUGCGGAAUGGACUUUGUAAGCUCCAUCUUCGCAUGGCUGGUGCUUACAUCCUUGCUAAAUUGCUAUUUUGACAUAACCUUUGCUUCUGAAGCAGGCUAUUUUCUGAGCACGUCAUUGUGGUGCUCUCCACCUCCUGUAAACAGUUACAAGACAAGGGGCAGGAAAAUACGUUGAUGUACAAUACAUUUUUUUUUGUAUCCAUAUGUGCUAUUAUAUGUGAAAACAUCAGUUAGAGCGGCCUUUUUUUGGAUUGUUUAGCGCCUCUAGAAUCUAGGUGGAAACAGCUGUGCAAAAGAAUUUAUUGUAUGAAAUCAGAAACACGGUCCAGUUGACUACGCACUUAUGUUUUGGAGAAAAUUGGGUGCUUAUCAGA